rnacentral:tRNA from 1 species
GUUCCAGUAGCUUAUUGGUAAAGCACCUAAUCGGCAAUUGGAGGAUCUGGGUUCAAGUCCCGGCCUGGCUCC